rnacentral:snRNA from 1 species
GUGCUCGCUUUGGCAGCACAUAUACUAAAAUUGGAACCGUACGGAGAAGAUUAGCAUGGCCUCUGGCACAAGGAUGACACGCAAAUUCGUGAAGCGUUCCAUAAAAAA